rnacentral:rRNA from 1 species
GCGGCGGAUGGGUGAGUAUCACGUGGGCAACCUGCCUGUAAGAUCGGGAUAACUCGCGGAAACGUGAGCUAAUACCGGAUGAAGUCUUACGCCACCUGGCGUAAGGAUGAAAGAUGGCCUUUGUGCUAUCACUUACAGAUGGGCCCGCGGCGCAUUAGCUAGUUGGUGGGGUAAUGGCCUACCAAGGCGACGAUGCGUAGCCGACCUGAGAGGGUGAUCGGCCACACUGGGACUGAGACACGGCCCAGACUCCUACGGGAGGCAGCAGUAGGGAAUCUUCCGCAAUGGACGAAAGUCUGACGGAGCAACGCCGCGUGAGUGAUGAAGGUCUUCGGAUCGUAAAACUCUGUUGUCAGGGAAGAACAAGUGACGUUCGAAUAGGGCGUGACCUUGACGGUACCUGACCAGAAAGCCCCGGCUAACUACGUGCCAGCAGCCGCGGUAAUACGUAGGGGGCAAGCGUUGUCCGGAAUUAUUGGGCGUAAAGCGCGCGCAGGCGGCCCUUUAAGUCUGAUGUGAAAGCCCACG